GAGGCACCAUCCCGCCGGUGACCCGCAGGGCGUGGGAAGGCUCUGGGGCUGCCCCGAGGCCCCUGCCCUGUCCGGGGCGCCGCGAGGGGUCUGUUCCCGCCGGGAGGGUCCUGCGGGUACGCUGCUGGGUCUGUGGGCGGGCGGCGCCCUUGGAGCUGCUCCCUGGGGAAAUGGUGUCUGAAAUCAAGUCCUGGUAGUCUCUGCUUGCGGCCCAGAAAGGCGAUUGUGUGUGUGCUGGGCUGCAUCCAGAGCAGUGGGACCGGCAGGGCGAGGGAGGAGAUGCUGCUGCUCUAGUCUGCUCUGGUGAGAUCCCACCUGGAGCCCUGUGUUCAGUUCUGGAGUGCUCAGCACAGGAAGGACAUGGAUCUGUUAGAGCGAGUCCAGAGGAGGCAACAGAGAUGAUCCGAGGGCUGGAGCACGUCCCGUACGAGGACAGGCUGAGAGUUGGGUUUGUUCAGCCUGGAGAGGAGAAGGCUCAGAGGAGGCAUUAGGCAGUUUCCAGUACUGGAAGGAGCUCCAGAAGAGCUGGGGAGGGACUCUUGAUUAGGGAGUGCAGGGAUAGGAUGAGGGGAACGGGUUUAAGCUGAAAGAGGGGAGAUUUAGAUUGAGAUCUUAGGAAGAAAUGUUUUCCUGUGAGGUUGGUGAGGCACCGGCACAGGUUGCCCAGAGAAGUUGUGGCUGCCCCAUCCCCGGAGGUGUUCAAGGCUCGGUUGGAUGGGGCUUUGAACAACCUGAUCCAGUAGGAGGUGUCCCUGCCCAUGGCAGGGGGCUUGGAACUGGGUGGGCUUUAAUCUCCCUUCCAACUAAAACCGUUCUAUGAUUCUAUGUAAACAAUACUUCUCUGUAUGGAAUAAACUAUUUCUUAAAGAUCUUUUUCUGCUGAUGUUUUUCCCUUCUUUUCUAAAGGCCACACUGGGUCACUCUGCCUGAGGGCCACUCUGGAGUCACCCCUCCCCGCUUCCUCCUUCAGAACACCAUAGUGCUUUGUCUCUGGGAUUCUACGGAACGGUCGGAGUGCCGGAGCUUGCACGGCUGCCAGGGGGAAGCGUAGAACAGCCUGCUGCGGGUCUGCAAUGGCUCUCCCAAGGGUGAGAGCAGUGCGAACGUGGAAGAGAAAAGAAAGGGACAGCACUCCGCAGGCAUUUUCUGAGGCUUUUUUUGAGUUGAUUAAAAGAAACAUGCAUAGAUCUGUCUGAAAGAUACACGACUAUCCAAGAAAAACAAGUUAUUUUAGUAGAGGAGAAAACCGGAAUUACAUCCCUGUAAGUCUGUUCCUGCAUUUAUGAGAAAUCAGCAGUGUUUUCAGAGACUUGAAACUUCCUCCUACCAGUGUUCGCCUUCACUGCUGCACAAUAAACACUUGCUGCCACAUUUGUAUGGGCAGUCCUUGGUAAAUGACACUGUAUGAACCCUUCCCAGGUUCUGGAAUGGAAGCACGGGGUAGCUGUCUAUGUGACUUUGUCCCUGUGUGUGACCUACAAGUUUGUGUUUACUGGUGUCGCAGAAAUGGGAUCUGUUUGGAGAAUAAACUUCAGUUUCCUGAGAUAAUCCAGAGCUGCUGACACCAGUGUGAGAUUUUCUGUUGACUUCAAUGACUGUGGAUCAGAUCCGUGGAGAUAAAUCCAGAUCUGUCUGAAACUGUACCAUCUGCAUAGGAUGAGGCCUUAAAAGGACUAUAGCAAGAGGAUAAUGUUGAGAAAUAAUCUACAGCAUCUUGUCCAUGAGGUGUUUCCUUCACGAACCGAUACAUG